rnacentral:rRNA from 1 species
AUUGAACGCUGGCGGCAGGCCUAACACAUGCAAGUCGAACGGAGUGGCGGACGGGUGAGUAAUGUCUGGGAAACUGCCUGAUGGAGGGGGAUAACUACUGGAAACGGGCGCUAAUACCGCAUACUAUCAGAUGAGCCUAGGUCGGAUUAGCUAGUUGGUGGGGUAAAGGCCUACGAAGGCGACGAUCCGUAACUGGUCUGAGAGGAUGAUCAGCAAAUCUGAAAAUGAGACACGGUCCAGAUUCCUACGGGAGGCAGCAGUGGGAAAUAUUGGACAAUGGGGGAAAGCCUGAUCCAGCCAUGCCGCGUGUGUGAAGAAGGUCUUCGGAUUGUAAAGAACUUUAAGUUGGGAGGCGUUACCAACAGAAUAAGCACCGGCUAACUGCGUGCAAGCCGCCGCGGUAAUC